rnacentral:tRNA from 1 species
GCCGCCUUAGCUCAGUUGGUUAGAGCACCAGAUUGUGGAUCUGGGGGUCCCUGGUUCGAAUCCAGGAGGCGGUACCA